ACUUUCUGCCAUAUCUCACAUAUAUGAACCGCAAACCUUUAAAGAAGCCAUAACUGACCAGAAUUGGAGGAAUGAUAUGGAUACAAAACUUCAGCCAUUAGAAUCAAAUGAAACAUGGCAAUUAGUUUCUCUUCCUCCUGGAAAGAAGGCUAUUGGGUGUAAAUGGGUUUAUAAAGUGAAACUUAAGUCAGAUGGUAGCAUUGAAGGAUAUAAGGCUCUAUUAGUUGCAAAGGGGUAUACAUAGCAAGAAGGUAUUGAUUACACCUAGACUUUUUCUUGUGUAGCUAAAAUGGUUACAGUUAUUACCAUUUUAGCACUUGCAGCCAUAAAUGAUUGUGGUCUCUUUCAAAUGGAUGUAUAUAAUGCCUUCCUUCAAGGAGAUUUGAAUGAGGAAAUAUAUAUGAAGGUUCCUCCAGGUCUGAAUAAUCAACUUGAGACCAAAAAUAAGUUCUACAAACUAUUGAAAUCCUUAUAUGGUCUAAAACAAGCUUCCAGACAAUGGCAUCACAAGUUUACCACUACACUAUUAGAGUAUGGUUUCCUAUAGUCUAAAAAUGACUACUCGUUAUUCACUAAGACUCAUAGGAGCAGUUUGGUGAUCUUUUUAGUGUAUGUUGAUGACAUACUGCUAACAGGUAACAAUCUUGCAGCCAUUGAUGAAGUCAAGUGAUAUCUCAAUGCCAAAUUCAGAAUCAAGGAUUUAGGCAUCUUGAGAUACUUCCUCGGGAUGGAAAUUAGUCACUCACGAGCUGGUUUGGUAAUAAACGAGCUGGUUUGGUAAUAAAUCAACGAAAAUAUGCACUGGGACUUCUUUCUAAAACUGGUUUGCUAGGUUCUAAACUAAUUGACACUCCAUAUGAGCAACACCUCAAAUUGACGACUGUUGAAUUGGAUAAAUUAGUUGGCACUUGUACAAAUGAUCCACUCCCAAAGGAUGCUUCUUCCUAUCAAAGAUUAGUAGCUAAGAAAUUUCAUUUGGAAGCUGCUCUCAGAGUACUACGAUACAUCAAACAGAGUCCUGAAGGUCCUUAACAGGUUAUUGUAUCAAGUUUGGAGAAUCUUUAAUUUCCUGGAAAACAAUCAACUGUUUCCAGAUCAUCCUGUGAGGCUGAAUAUAGAUCAAUGGCGUCCACUUGUUGCAAGAACGUAGAUACAAAGUUUGCUCCUUGAUUUGGGCAUCAAACUUCUGCUACCAACAUUAUUGUACUAUGACAAUAAAGCUGCCCUACAUAUUGCUGCUAAUCCAGUAUACCAUGAAUGAACCAAACAUGUUGAGAUUGACUAUCAUCUGAUCUGGGAAAAGAUUGAUCGCAAAUUAAUUAAAACUACAUACAUCUCUACCAGUGAACAGCCUGCCGAUUUGAUGGCCAAGGGAUUAUGCAAGCAACAACAUCGCAUUCUCAUGUCCAAGCUUCGUAUGUUUGAUGUUCAUCAAUCAUUACCAGCUUGAGGGAGGUAUUGGUUAUAUUAGUGUUUAUUACUACCGUAGUUUUUGUUACUGCUGAAGUCCAAGUGUCAUAUUGUAAAUUGUUGUAAUUAGUUAUUUAAAAGAGUUGUAGUAGUUGUAAAAACAGAGAUGAGUUGACCAAAUAAAUUUUUC